GCCCUAUACAAUAGUCAGUACUGAUAUACGAGCUUACGAGCUUGUAGCAUAAAUUACACUCAAUCACCAACAACUAAUAUACAGAUAUGCUACAGUUGUUUAUCAAUGUUUGAUCAACACGACAGUGAAUACAAGAUGACUAGAGAGCACUCGAAGACGUCAUAUCUCAGGGAAUUAAGUUAUAUAUCAUGGCAUGAAUUAUAACAAUGUCAGUUUACUCUGCCUGGCAAAUCAAGACAAACUUUUACUAAUUUCUUAUCCAAUUUUUAUCCAAAUUUGACCAACAUUUAAUCAAUUUAUCUUCGGGGCAAUGACCACGAAAUCUGCCAGUGAGAGGUCUGGAAAGUGCUGGGUUAAGGGAGAAAGGGCUAGGUCUGUGACUAGCUAAUGUGUGGAAUUAAAUUAAAGUUACUGACAAAUCUAUGCAUGCAGUGCUUCAGUUAUACAUUACUCAUUACAUUUAUAGGCGAAAUUAAC